GGAUGUUAACCUCACCAACUACAUAGCUACAACAAAUGAGAUUUCUACGUUGAAGUCAAAUAGUCAACUUAUGUGUGUAAAUGAGUGCACAAAAACAACGAAUUGUCUUUCUGUAUUUUACAUACAUAAAACAUGUCGACUAAACAAUGAAUAUUUUUCACGUACAACUGAAUUGAUUCCUGCAAACGGAUCCGAGUAUUUUUCUUCAGUAUCGUUUUGUUCACCAAAUCUGUGUUUGCAUGGCGGCACAUGUUCAAUAUCUGGAUCUUCUUUCAAAUGUGACUGUUUGUCUGGCUGGACAGGUUCUCGAUGCGAAGCAGAAGUAUGUUCGCCGAAUCCUUGCAUGAACGAGGGUUCAUGUUCUCAAUCACUUGUGGCACCAGGUUUUACGUGUGAUUGUCGUGAAGACUUUAUAGGUGAUGUAUGUCAAAAAAGAGAGUCAGACUGAUAUUUACAGCAUCAAAAUCUGGGUUUGUGGAAUAUAUUGAAGCAUUCGGUUGUUUAUUUUAGAUCCUUAAAAAACUAAUUUUAACUCCUUUUAGCAAUUGGCAUCUUGAUUAAAAACCUGUCGAAAUAUUUGUCAUUUAAAACUUACUGUUGUAUAUACAGCAUUAAUUAAA